GGCCUGCUGGCGCAAUGGUUAGCGUACUAGUUUCCGGAGCUAGGGGUUCCGAGUUCGAGUCUCGGGUGGGUCG